CGUCUGUAGCUUAUACCAAUGUGGUUCAUCAUCUAAAAGCGCUGUCUCCAGCUCUAUAAGAAUCUCUCCAAGAAAUUCACUCUCUUCUUCUUGUACUCUUGGCUGAUCCCAUACUGUUAUUUCAAGCAUUCGUUCUCUAAAAUCUCUACGAUGUACAUGCGAGUAGAGAAAAGUUUGAUUCCACUUUGGCUCUAGACUUUUCUUUACUGUCUUGGUCCUCCUUUUACUUUUAUCACUCCUGUCUGGAAGAAAAUACAUUUUUACAUAGGGAUUCCUUGGCCGUCCAUCUACUCUUGGUGGCAAAUCUGUUGCUUGUAGAACGUUCACUAUUAACUGAUGUCCCACCUUGUCAUACCACAGUUUCACAGAAAGCUGCCCUGGUAGGACUUGCGGUGCAUCCCUUAGGGCUCCAGGGCUGGUUGGAGAAAUAACAGAAAUAGAAGGCCUUUCCAUCUUCUGAGAUUCAAAAGAACUUGAACUGGACUCUAAUGGGGGAUGAGAACUCUCAGGAAUCCGAGGAAUAUCACCAAUGGGCCUUGAAACAAUAAUUUCAACUUGAGGUUCUGACUUUGAUUCUAAAAUAAUGUUGUAAACUUCUUCAUUUGUAGCUCCAGGCAAGGGUUUACCAUUCCAUUCUAGAACUUCAUCUCCUGCUCUGAGAUGCCCCACCACAUCGGCCAAGCUACCCUUCUUCACUUUGGUAAUGAAGGCACCAAGUCGUCCUAAUUCUGUCAUUUUUC
rnacentral:lncRNA from 1 species